rnacentral:rRNA from 1 species
CCCUACGGGGCGCAGCAGUAGGGAGUUUUCGUCAAUGGGCGCAAGCCUGAACGAGCAAUGCCGCGUGAACGAGGAAGGUCUUCGGAUCGUAAAGUUCUGUUGAAGGGGAAAAAGAGCGGAGAGAGGAAAUGCUUUCUGAUUGAUAUUACCCUUCGAGGAAGUCACGGCUAACUACGUGCCAGCAGCCGCGGUAAUACGUAGGUGGCGAGCGUUAUCCGGAAUGAUUGGGCGUAAAGGGUGCGUAGGCGGCCUGCUAAGUCUGGAGUGAAAGGUACCGGCUCAACCGGUACAGGCUCUGGAAACUG